rnacentral:rRNA from 1 species
GAUGAACGCUAGCGGCAGGCCUAAUACAUGCAAGUCAAGGGGAUAGCAAUAUCACCGGCGGACGGGUGCGUAACGCGUACACAACGUGCCCAAGGGCGGAGGAAAGCGGCGGGAAACUGCCGGUAAUACUCCAUGGUGUUGUUGAGUGGCAUCACUUAACAACUAAAGUACAAGCGCCCUUGGAUCGGUGUGCGUUCGAUUAGCUAGUUGGCGGGGUAACGGCCCACCAAGGCUUCGAUCGAUAGGGGGGUGUGAGAGCAUGACCCCCCCACACGGGUACUGAGACACGGACCCGACUCCUACGGGAGGCAGCAGUAAGGAAUAUUGGACGAAUGGGCGGAAGCCUGAUCCAGCCAUGCCGCGUGAAGGACGAAGGCGCUCAGCGUUGUAAACCUCUUUUGGAUGGGAACAAUAACUCCGACUUGUCGGAACUUGAGGGUACCAUCAGAAUAAGCACCGGCUAACUCCGUGCCAGCAGCCGCGGUAAAGUAGUCGUG